rnacentral:rRNA from 1 species
UGGGGAAUAUUGCACAAUGGGGGAAACCCUGAUGCAGCGACGCCGCGUGAACGAAGAAGGUAUUCGUAUCGUAAAGUUCUGUCCUAUGGGAAGAUAAUUACAGUACCAUAGAAGAAAGCUCCGGCUAAAUACGUGCCAGCAGCCGCGGUAAUACGUAUGGAGCGAGCGUUGUCCGUAAUUAUUGGGCGUAAAGGGUACGCAGGCGGUUUAAUAAGUCGAAUGUUAAAGAUCGGGGCUCAACCCCGUAAAGCAUUGGAAACUGAUAAACUUGAGUAGUGGAGAGGAAAGUGGAAUUCCUAGUGUAGUGGUGAAAUACGUAGAUAUUAGGAGGAAUACCAGUAGCGAAGGCGACUUUCUGGACACAAACUGACGCUGAGGUACGAAAGCGUGGGGAGCAAACAGG